rnacentral:snRNA from 1 species
AUGCCCUAAACUUCUGAGUAAGGAAAAUAAUGAUUCGGGGUUACACCUGAAUCCUCACUGCUAAUGUGAGACAAAUUUUUGAGUGGGUAAAGGUUGCCCCUAAGGUAACCCACCUACUUUGCAAGAUGCCUGGGAGUUGCGAUCUGUUCA